GGAAAGUAGCUUAGUUUGGUCAGAGUACCAGCUUGUCACGCCGGUGGUCGCGGGUUCGACUCCCGUCUUUCCC
rnacentral:tRNA from 1 species